CGAAUCACACGUCACAGAUUGACGUCAAUGACCGCGUGAACAGAGUCCUUGAAUGUAGGCCUUCUGCGAUCAUUUGGUCACUAAUCAUUUUCUUUCUCUUGCAGGUAAGUUCUUUAAAAAAAAAAAAAAAAAAAAAAAAAAAAAAAAAAAAAAAAAAAGCCAUCAAGGAUAGGUUAUGCUUCCUUAAUUUACGAGCAUCACGAUGCGGGAUGAAAAGCUAAUUUUUAGACCGGGGCUUUAUUUAA